GACGAACGCUGGCGGCGUGCCUAAUACAUGCAAGUCGAGCGGACGGAUGGGAGCUUGCUCCCAGACCGUCAGCGGCGGACGGGUGAGUAACACGUGGGCAACCUGCCUGUAAGACUGGGAUAACUCCGGGAAACCGGGGCUAAUACCGGAUAACUCUUUCCCUCACAUGAGGGAAAGCUGAAAGAUGGCAUCUCGCUAUCACUUACAGAUGGGCCCGCGGCGCAUUAGCUAGUUGGUGAGGUAACGGCUCACCAAGGCGACGAUGCGUAGCCGACCUGAGAGGGUGAUCGGCCACACUGGGACUGAGACACGGCCCAGACUCCUACGGGAGGCAGCAGUAGGGAAUCUUCCGCGAUGGACGAAAGUCUGACGGAGCAACGCCGCGUGAGUGAUGAAGGUUUUCGGAUCGUAAAACUCUGUUGUCAGGGAAGAACAAGUACCGGAGUAACUGCCGGUACCUUGACGGUACCUGACCAGAAAGCCACGGCUAACGACG
rnacentral:rRNA from 1 species